GGGGAUGUUCCGGUUUCGACAGCAAAUUGGAUCGGAACGUAAGCAUGCCGAGCGUUGUGAUGGUAGCUCGUAAAUCUCAACACACAAGCCAUAAUUGGCGAAAACAACUAUGCACUCGCUGCGUGACCUGCCAAGCACGUCACCUUAAUCAGGCCGGCCUAGGUUGCAGGCCCGACGAGUAUCCCGCUACGCUGUUCGGCUCUUUAAUAGCGUAGUAUAUGGGGUAUCAUUCUUUAGAGCUGGUUGCGCCGAUGUUGCUACAGCGCAAUAAGAAAACAGCAGCUAAGAAACAGGCAGGAUGCUUUUUUCCGGUCUGUUUACGAAAACCAAAUAAAAGAUAAGCAUGUAGAACGCGUUUGGAUGGUUUGUUUGGACGCGGGUUCGAUUCCCGCCA
rnacentral:tmRNA from 1 species